rnacentral:piRNA from 1 species
UUAAAUAAAGAGGACUGUAAAUAU